AACGAACGUUGGCGGCGUGGAUUAGGCAUGCAAGUCGUACGCGAAAGAGGGAGCAAUCCCUUGAGUAAAGUGGCGAACGGGUGAGUAACGCGUAGGAAACCUGCCUUCGAGAUGGGGAUAACAUUCCUAACGGGGUGCUAAUACCGAAUGACACUGCGAAAUCGCAUGGUUUUGCAGUCAAAGGUGGCCUCUGCUUGCAAGCUACCACUCGAAGAUGGUCCUGCGUCCCAUAGCUAGUUGGCGGGGUAAUGGCCCACCAAGGCGACGAUGGUAGCCGAUCUGAGAGGAUGACCGGCCACACUGGGACUGAGACACGGCCCAGACUCCUACGGGAGGCAGCAGUGGGGAAUAUUGGACAAUGGGC
rnacentral:rRNA from 1 species